CACGUAGGGCGCAAGCGUUGUCCGGAAUUACUGGGCGUAAAGGGCUCGUAGGCGGCCAACUAAGUCAGACGUGAAAUCCCUCGGCUUAACCGGGGAACUGCGUCUGAUACUGAAUGGCUUGAGUUUGGGAGAGGGAUGCGGAAUUCCAGGUGUAGCGGUGAAAUGCGUAGAUAUCUGGAGGAACACCGGUGGCGAAGGCGGCAUCCUGGACCAACACUGACGCUGAGGAGCGAAAGCCAGGGGAGCAAACGGG
rnacentral:rRNA from 1 species